CCUGUGCUAUGGAGAUAGAGUGAGACAGAAAGAGGAAGAGAGAGUAGGAAAGAACAAGAAAGCAACAACAAAUGGGAAUAUACUUGGAAUAUUCAGGAAUUAAAUCAGGAUGGAUGUCAAAACUUACUAGGGCAGCAGCACCAUCUGCUGAAAGGACACCGCUACAAACCAGCGUCCAGUGGCUGACUCAUCCACAGAACGUUUAAUCAAAAACUCAAUAGAACAAGGAUUUGCAGCAGGUGUGAGAGUUGUUCAAUCAAUCUUUCUUUCAUGAAUCCAACAAUAUGUAAAUCAAGGUUGUAGCCAGUGUUAGGCCAGUCCAUCUCUGGCACUGAAGACCUCAGAUAACCUCAUCUGUAUGGGAGCGUGUAUAGUGUCUGGAUAAAAUAUGAUUCUAAUACCCAUCUGCUCCAUCUGCUGUUGACAAGUAAAAGUAAUGGAGGCUU